UACAGGCUUAACACAUGCAAGUCGAGGGGAAACGGCAUUUAGUGCUUGCACUGAAUGGACGUCGACCGGCGCACGGGUGAGUAACGCGUAUCCAACCUUCCCAUUACUGUGGGAUAACCUGCCGAAAGGCAGACUAAUACCUCAUAGUCUUCGAUGACGGCAUCAGAUUUGAAGUAAAGAUUUAUCGGUAAUGGAUGGGGAUGCGUCUGAUUAGCUUGUUGGCGGGGUAACGGCCCACCAAGGCAACGAUCAGUAGGGGUUCUGAGAGGAAGGUCCCCCACAUUGGAACUGAGACACGGUCCAAACUCCUACGGGAGGCAGCAGUGAGGAAUAUUGGUCAAUGGACGUAAGUCUGAACCAGCCAAGUAGCGUGCAGGAAGACGGCCCUAUGGGUUGUAAACUGCUUUUGUAUGGGGAUAAAGUCAAUCACGUGUGAUUGUUUGCAGGUACCAUACGAAUAAGGACCGGCUAAUUCCGUGCCAGCAGCCGCGGU
rnacentral:rRNA from 1 species